CGGACGGGUUAGUAACGCGUGGGAACAUACCCUUUGGUACGGAAUAGCCUCUGGAAACGGAGAGUAAUACCGUAUGAGCCCUUCGGGGGAAAGAUUUAUCGCCAAAGGAUUGGCCCGCGUUAGAUUAGGUAGUUGGUGGGGUAAUGGCCUACCAAGCCUACGAUCUAUAGCUGGUUUUAGAGGAUGAUCAGCAACACUGGGACUGAGACACGGCCCAGACUCCUACGGGAGGCAGCAGUGGGGAAUCUUAGACAAUGGGCGCAAGCCUGAUCUAGCCAUGCCGCGUGAGUGAUGAAGGCCUUAGGGUCGUAAAGCUCUUUCGCCUGUGAAGAUAAUGACGGUAGCAGGUAAAGAAACCCCGGCUAACUCCGUGCCAGCAGCCGCGGUAAUACGGAGGGGGUUAGCGUUGUUCGGAAUUACUGGGCGUAAAGCGCACGUAGGCGGACUGGAAAGUUGGGGGUGAAAUCCCAGGGCUCAACCCUGGAACUGCCUCCAAAACUAUCAGUCUAGAGUUCGAGAGAGGUGAGUGGAAUUCCGAGUGUAGAGGUGAAAUUCGUAGAUAUUCGGAGGAACACCAGUGGCGAAGGCGGCUCACUGGCUCGAUACUGACGCUGAGGUGCGAAAGUGUGGGGAGCAAACAGGAUUAGAUACCCUGGUAGUCCACACCGUAAACGAUGAAUGCCAGUCGUCGGGUAGCAUGCUAUUCGGUGACACACCUAACGGAUUAAGCAUUCCGCCUGGGGAGUACGGUCGCAAGAUUAAAACUCAAAGG
rnacentral:rRNA from 1 species